GACGAACCGUGCGAACGUUAUUCGGAAUCACUGGGCUUAAAGGGCGCGUAGGCGGGCCGCCAAGUUCGAGGUGAAAUCCUCCGGCUCAACCGGAGAACUGCCUCGAAUACUGGAGGCCUCGAGGCGGGUAGGGGCAUGCGGAACUGGGGGUGGAGCGGUGAAAUGCGUUGAUAUCCACAGGAACUCCGGUGGCGAAGGCGGCAUGCUGGACCCGAUCUGACGCUGAGGCGCGAAAGCCAGGGGAG
rnacentral:rRNA from 1 species